GUCAGGAUGGCUGAGCGGUCUAAGGCGCCAGGUUUAAAUUUCUGCUUCCCACUCUCGGGGUUUCUGGUCUCUAAAUAGAGACGUGGGUUCGAAUUCCGCUUCUGAGG
rnacentral:tRNA from 1 species